CAGACAAUGAAGGAACGGCUGAUGGUUCAAAUGAAGAAGCGGCUGUACAGUGACGGCAUUUCACUCGCCUAGAAACUUCAGCCUUAAGACAUGGAGAUGAAGAUUGGUCGCCUUCAAAACACAGAAUAUGGUGCUGCAACACUUUGUGUUGGUUCUCUCGUGGUAGUCCAUGGGCCUUGCAUCUUUGGCACAACAGUUUGGGGAGGAACCAUGACUGCCUUCACUGCUUGACUGUCAGUCACACCUCUAGCUGCCACCAAUGCAACAUCACUCCUGUCAUCUGAUAUCAACAAAGAAACACUUCACAACAGCAUGGACCUUGAGGAGACAUCAGUGUUAAAGCCUUUUCUACUGGUAAUUACCUUGAGAAACAAUAGCAUCAACCUUCUCUGCUGUCACUUUUGAAGACUCUCCUGGGGGGGAAAGGAACAAAAAGGUUAAAAAUGUGUGCUGUGUCAGCCAUGCAGCAGCCCCCCUCCUCUGGUCUCCCAGCACUCUGCCCAAACCUCCACCCCUACAGUGCUCAGUAUUUUUUUCUGGAAUUUCCUCUUGUGGGACUAAUAAAGGCAUACCUUAUCUUAUAUCUUAAGAACAGCAACAACAGACACUUCCAAAUACAAGAUCAAAAUUAAAGUAUCAAGGUGGAGGGGCUGCUGAGGGCUUGCGCUGCUCUGGAGGACCACUCGCAGGCAUGCCACUGCCUCCAGGACUGGCCGAGCCAUCACUGGAACUCUUGUCCUUCUUGCGUUGCUCACGCUUCUCCUUGUUACUGACCUUGGUCUCCCAUGUACCUGGAAAAUGAAGUUGAGCGCAAUGUGAAAUGAGUUGCAAAAUACCAAAAGAGCUUAUUGUAAGAUUAACGACUUAUGGAUUUGGUAGGAUGAUUAAAUAGAUUGCUUAGACUCGUUAUCAUUUUUUUUUAAAUACCUUUAAGCACAUGUAUGUAUAAACAGACAGUAAUGCUUGUAGCACACAAAAGCCCUCUGCCACAAAAUUAUUAUAUUGUUAGGUUAGCUUGACACACCUACAAAAUGGGAAAAACUUGGUCACGCCUUAAAAACAAAAAAGGUGUGAAAUUCACAUUCUGCCUUAAAUAGGAUGAAUAAGACUCGGUACAGUUUUUCACCAAUGCAAACUACAAUCAUAAUAAUAAAAAUUGCAACAAGUGCACAGAUACCAUAUGUUUUAAUGUGAAUCAUCAUUUGAACCUAUGAAAACCAAAUUAGACACUAAUUAUGAUCUCAAAGUAAAAGAUUACCAUUAGUACUGUCCCCAGCCGAUACUGAUAUCGGUCUGACAUCGGUACGAUAAAGAAAAAAAAAAACAAAACAGCUGUAUUUGUAAAAUAGUGGGAAAAUCUGAUGCGCUACUUUCUGAAAACGAUGACGUCACUGACCCAUCGCCACCCUGUCCCUGUCACGUGACCAGAAGUGAGCUUUGACAACAACCCAACAUAAUAUCUGAAUAUUUAGACUGGCGUGACUCACCCCAGACGACAUUUUCCUGAUAUUUUGUUGUCUUAUACUCAAUAAUGACAAGCGGAAGACGAUGGACUUAUGAGAAUGCAUUCUUUCUUCUUCUAUAGUUGGUGUGUCAUGGGGUUCUGUCUGUGUGUCUGUUUACAGCACCACACAUAGGUCUGCCUUAUGUAUUACAUCCUUUUCACCAAGUGAUCCGUUCUCAUCUGGAUGCAACUAUUGAGUAAUCCGGCAUAGUAUGGAUAUAAAAAAAAUUUCCAACCCGCCAAAAAAUAUUAAAUUUUAAACCCCAGAAACAUUUCUGUGUCGAUAGGGCCUUAAAGCGACAAGCGCAACGACAACGGGUUUUACUGUAUGAGCAUGACACAUGCGCCAACGCAUCGAUGUUCCAGGACCCAUCGAAAAUGAGAACUAGACAAUGAUGAAUGGCAGCAGGAAAUUUUAUGUUUAGGAACACUGGUCAUUAGAAAUGGCACAAUUAAAAACAAUGAUGACAACCUGGCUUACUCUCCUAACCACAGUAAACAAAUAAACCUUACUAUGAAUGUGAUUCUUCACGUUUUACCUUCCUCUGGCUCCUUUCCGGCUGCUGUCACGGUCUCCUUCACUGUCUGUUUGGCUUUCUUCUUGGACUUCUUGGUCUAGAAUAUGAGUGACAGCAAACUGAGCGACAGCUUAUCUUUGUUUGAAAAUCACAAACCAGACAGCAGCAACUACAUCAGCAAAUAGUCAGUCAAAUACGCAUACUCUAGCAAUAUCUAUUUAUAAGUGUAGCAAACUGAUACUGAUAAGUCCAUCCUGAGUCUUAUGACCAUUUGGACAAUGGUUUAUGUGGCUUCAUGCUAUCAAGGAGGUUGUAUUGAAUGAAUUGCUAUACCAUGUGACAUAAGCCAGGAGUCAUCCCCUAAGGGGAUGCAGCAUCUGCUGGUUAUGGUUAACACUUUAAUGAGGGCUUCAGACUAACUGUUUUUACUAGGAGCAGUGGCCCCUAACUUAACAUUUUAGGAGCGCGAGCAAAAAAUUUAGGGGCGCACAUCAAAACCGACUUGCAAACACUCAAACAAUAAAUGACAACUGUUUUUGCUAUCCACCCUGUUUCUGUCCACAGCUUCACAGGCCUCACUAGUGCCUCACUGGUGGUCCGCUUUCCUUCUUCUUUGGCGUUUGUCUCCUUUCUUCCUCUUUAGGAGUUAAUGUGGGUUGGCAAAUUCGCUCAUUUGCACGUUACUGCCAACUACUGGUUUGAAAUGUAGAGAACAAGUUUGUCAGCAACAAAAAAUAUUCAAUAAUAAUAAACUCAAAUUGGCAAAUUAACUGGUAAGGUUGGCAACUUCUGGAAAACUAAAUAAGGGGUGUUUAAGAGUAAUACAACUACAUGGGAAGUUAACUGUUUGUUUCUUAGUUAAAAAUAACAACAGAAUAAAAUAAAUUAAAUAUCUUUCUUAUAAAAAUUUGUCCUGCUUAAUAUAAAACAGUAUAAACUGAGUGUCCAUGUUUAUGCUAGUGCAGGUGUAUCUAACUUCCAGCACUAUUAAAGCUACUUUGACAAAAAGAAAUUAGAGAUGAGCUAUUUUGUGUUUUAUUUGACUGCCAACAUUUCAAUUGUACAUUAUUUACAAACCACAUCUCCACUAAGAUAGUGUGCUCAUUGUUUUUAUACUAUUUGGUGUUCAUUUGUUCAUUAAUACAGGCAUCGUGUCAGAAGUGAACAGUUCUAAUAAAUACUAAGAGUUGAAGCAAAUAUUCUUCGGUGAGCUACUCAACUGAUCAGACGACGAGCUACUGGUAGUUCACGAGCUGCCUGUUAAGAUCCCGUGUUAGCGUAACAAUUUUAAAGCUAUGUGUUUUAUGUUGAACAAAAACACACAACUAGUGUUUUGAAGACGAGAAAUAAUUAUCAUAAUGGUGACAAGAGAGAAAGGUUGUUAAGUGACACUUUGAAAAAGUAGGUUAGCAUGCACCCCAUGAACGAAAUGUCACUGCCGCCAGAGAGACAGUGGAGCCAGGCAAAAUGUGUAAACAAAGACGGUACAAUAGUCGAAAUUCAAUACGAGCCAAACAUGAGCAAUCACACAAGCUGGUAUUGAUAGGCUUAGACCGUGACAAGCUGUCAUCAAUUCACAAACUAUUUUUCAUUCUCACUUUACUGUGAUGGCACAUCAGCAAGUAAAUGAAAAAUUCACUCGCAAUUUCUUGUAUUUUAGUUGCAAAAUGCGACCAUUUAGUCGCAGUCUGGAGCCCUGGUAAUCCAACACUGGCAGCUGCUGUGGUUACAUCACGAAUGUGUGACAGUGACACAAGAGAGGGUUCUCCCCCCUCCCGCCCCUCCUGAGUUUCGCUUUACAGGACCCCUACAAUACACUCACUGACCACAAAAGGAGACACCACCUCGAACAGAACUUUGAGAGAUCACGCUCCAUUUGGAAAUACUGUGCUUGUAGUGGUGUACAAGAGUACUCCAAUGUUCAGUUUGUUUUGAAAUAUUUCUCAAUAUGAUGCGCUGUGUGCUGUUCUUUGAAAUUAUAACCUGCAACAACAAUAGUAGUACUUAUCAAUGCAUAGUUUUUCCAUUGUAUUUGUAUUUGUAUUUGUAUUUGGCUGUGCAAGCUUAAUUGUGAGUAAUAUUGGUGUGCCAUUCCAACAAGGCACGCGACUUAAGGAAGCAGGAGAGUUCAAUGGAGAACUGGAGCAAUCCAAAGAACUGGACAAAUAUUGACGGUUACAUCACGUCGACUACAAGAAAAUUAAGUGUAGGAAAAAAAUAUAAAUGACAAAUGUCGGAAAGUGAAAUAUUUUAAGUGUCAACAAGUAAAAGUUAUGAUGUGAAUUAUCAGUAACAGACAUGAAAAUUAAAUAUAAACUCUGCGUCUUCCUACUCAUUUUCACACAUGUUGAAUUGUGAAAACGUAACCAUGUGAUGUUCCUUAAUGUAACAUGUUGCACAUGUCUGAAAGAAAUUAUCAUACCAUACUGGGGUUAAAACUAGCGGGAUAAGACGAAUGCUGCUCAUAUUACCUCUACUAUCUUUUCCCUCUUGGUUUGUACAGGAAGUGGCUGGUGAUGUGGCACUCUCUCUUCUGCAACUAUACCAUCCUCUUCCUGGAAUUCAACAGCUCGCCCAUUCUGCUGGGCUUUCUAAUAAAAAUGAGAGAUUGACCGAUCAAAUGUUGCAAAUGUACAAUAAAAUUAUUCAUUGUAUAUAUUUAUCUAGUGUCCUAUCGUAGUCUACC